GUUGAUGUUUUAGGGUUUAGGGUUAAUUUAUUAGGGUUUAGGGUUUAGAGUUUACCUUUUAUGGUUUAGGGUUUAGUGUUAAUAGUUUAGGGUUUAGUGUUAAUGGUUUAGGGUUUAGAGUUGAAGUUUAGGGUUUAGAGUUUAGAGUUGAUGUUUUAGGGUUUAGAGUUGAAGGUUUAGGAUUUAUGGUUUAGAAUUGAUGUUUCGGAGUUUAGGGUUUAGAGUUGAAGUUUCAGGGUUUAGGGUUCGUAUUUAAAAAAAAAUAGGGUUUAGGAUUGAUGGUCUAGUGUUCGUAUUUCAAAAAAAACAAGGGUUUA
rnacentral:lncRNA from 1 species